GUGUACCUUACCCACAUUUCUCAUUGUUCUCAUCGCUUCCAAUGGGAGUUUUGCUCAGGAAGUGCAAAAUAGAGCUGAAAAGAUUUGAUCAAUCUCUACCCACUCAAUAUGGGGAAAAAAAGUGACUACACCACAAAUUCCUACCGAGCUUCCUGAAGAUGUGAUGGUUGCUGAAGGAAGGGUUGCUCUUUCAUACUUGCAGAGGUAUCAGAAGAGAGUGGAAUUGGCUCCGUUGGACUAAGAGGAGACUUUCAGUGUCUGGGAGCUGCCAUCAGCUGGUGUUUUUGCACAUCUCGCAAAAUGUGGACAAAUGUGACAGAGCUCAAGGAGAGAGGUAACUCCUAGCUAUCUGGCAGCUUGUAUCCUGCAGAGACUAAAAUCAAAGUUGUUUAUGUGAUUUCAGGCUAAUUUCUGCCAAU
rnacentral:lncRNA from 1 species